CAUCCUCCAAGGCUAAAUACUCCUGACUGACCGAUAGUGAACCAGUACCGUGAGGGAAAGGCGAAAAGAACCCCGGCGAGGGGAGUGAAAAAGAACCUGAAACCGUGUACGUACAAGCAGUGGGAGCCCCACCACUAAGCCAGUGGUGAACUCCACAUACGCAUCCUUUGCUGAGGAUACGGUUAACGGAGCGCAAGCGACGUUCAACCUCAAAAGAAGCAGAGGGGGCUUAGUGGUGGGGUGACUGCGUACCUUUUGUAUAAUGGGUCAGCGACUUAUAUUCUGUAGCAAGGUUAACCGUAUAGGGGAGCCGUAGGGAAACCGAGUCUUAACCGGGCGUUAAGUUGCAGGGUAUAGACCCGAAACCCGGUGAUCUAGCCAUGGGCAGGUUGAAGGUUGGGUAACACUAACUGGAGGACCGAACCGACUAAUGUUGAAAAA
rnacentral:rRNA from 1 species